GGUCCCAGCCCCAGUCACGCGGGGAGCACGCGGCCAGCAGCCCAGGGGGUGCAGGACCACCCCAGCGAUCCCCUCCCCCUCCCCCCGGCUCCUGCUCUGGGGGCUCCCCGAGCGACACCCCUCUGGGCACCGGUGGGGUGACACAGUCCCCCAGAGGAUCCAGAGCAGUCACACAACUGCCCCCACCUCAGGGCCCAGCCUGCUGACCGGGGUGCCCCUCACCUGGGUGGCCAAGCGGAGUGCUGGGGGGCGAAGGGGCCCCAGGUGAGGGCAGGCGUCUGGGGGACCCCAAGGGCUGAGCACAGCUGCGCCCAGGCCCAGGGUGGAGGCUCUGUGUUGGAGGCGCGGCUGACAGGGUCCAGAGCCCAGUGAAUCCCCAAGGCUGGGCCCGGGUUCCCAUGGGGCUGGGACACAUCCGCCUCCAGCAGCUUUGGGGGGCCCGGAGCUGAGCAUCGAUAUCCCCAGAGGCAUGGCCGGUGGCUGGGGCGGGACCCGAGAGCCCAGCCCCCAGAGGAGCAGUGGCCUCAGAAGAACCAGCAGGUCAGCGAGCGGAGAGAAGGCAGGACACAGCCCAAGCAUGAGUCCGGCUGGGCGGCCAGAGCCGUGGACAGCUAGCUCGCUCACAGCCGGACCCACAGAAAACCCUCAGGUCUAAGCACAGGAAGCAGCGCCCGGCCAGGCAGGAGUCCCCGCCAGACCCGGCUGAACUCAGGACCUACGAGCUCCCCAAAAGAAAGGUCGGCACAGCUUGAGAUGCGCCAGAGGCCCCGUUGCUGGUGCGGGAGGCCGGGGUCCAGGGCUCGGGGCUGGGUGGACGUGGCUGUGAGCCCCAGAGCCAAGCUCUCCGUGCAGGGCUCUGUGUUCACCAGCUGGACCAGGUGGUGUUUUAAAGGCAGCAUCAACUCUGCCUCUCCUGGUUCUCCUUGCUGGAGCAGAAGGCAGAUCUGUGCUGAGAGUGAAGAUGGAGUGUGGAUUCUUUCUUCUGCAGGUGUGAACACACCUCCACUCCCUGGCUCCCUCAGCUUUCAGCCCCUCAUCCUGCCCACAGUCUAUACCCCAGCCUGCAGGCACUUCCUGAUCGAUGGCGCAUCCUGCCCUGGGAAUCCGGCUGCCUUCAGCCCCAGGCCCCUCCCACCCCUCGGCGUGCUCUGGGCCUGAAGUCUCGGUGUAGACCAGACACGCUGCCUCCCGCGCCUGCCCUGUCUGCUGCGGGUGCCAGGUGUGCCCAGAUGACCCAGCCUCCCUGGGAGGAGGGGACAAGCAUCGCUGGAGAGGGGUCUAGGCUGGUGUGCAGAGGGGCAGGAUGCACACGUCUGGAGCUCGGACCUGCACAGGGGACCCUCUGCCCCUCACUCUCUACCCUCCAAGCUCCCAGCACCUCCCCAGGGGCUGUGUGAGGUCCUGCUCUGCAAAACCCAGGGCCAACCAGCCCCGAGCGGGCGAGGGGCCUUCAGGCUUCAGGACGCCCCAACUCCAAGCUCUCUGAUUCUCCCACCUCAUACCCAGCGAGCCGGGCUGGCAACACGGGGGAGCUGGAGCCACAGCACAGGACACCCGUCAGGCUCUGCCUGGUCACUGGGCUGGGCUGCUGGGCCAGCAUCGCAACCCCCACUUGAAGAGCUCAGGGGCGCCUGCCCUGCUGAGUGACCACACCCUGGGGGCUCGGGAGUGGGAGCCAGGCCAGGAGAGGCUGUGGGCUCCUCAGGGUGGCUGGCGGCUGG
rnacentral:lncRNA from 1 species